AUGAGACACUUCAAAGCCAACCUCUCGGCUGCCUCCAUCGACCAGUUCUCGAGCCUAUGGAAUGUUGUGCAGCACACCCACCUCAUCCCGGACCAGCCUGACUCCUUGACCUGGCGAUGGACAGCUAAUGGUACUUUCUCGGCUGCUUCUGCUUCUGCUGCCAUGCUGUCGGCACAGAUCAAGCCGCUCUUCGCCAAACUUGCCUGGAGCUCGGACGCGCCGCCAAAAUGUCAAUUUUUUGUGUGGCUCGCGGCUCAAGGAAAGUGUUUAACCGCUGAUAACCUAGCUAAGAGAGGCUGGCCACAUAAUCCCACCUGCUCCUUGUGCUUGCAAGUUCCUGAAAGUGCCUCCCACCUCCUUUCAGUUUGCCCCUACGCCAAGGAGAUUUGGCACUUAGCAAUCAGGAAGCUGGGCCUCCCCCAGAGCCUGAAUAUCAAUGGCAAUGAAGACAUGAUAGACUGGUGGCAACGCUCUUCUCAGGGUAUGAACAAGGAGACGGCAAAGUCGUGGAGAUCGGUCAUGGCCCUCGUAUGGUGGAUGCUAUGGAAGGAGAGAAACGAAAGAAUUUUCAGAAACACGUCGUGUACCUCUGCAAGGCUGUUCGAAAAAAUUCAGUUAGAGGCCCAGGACUGGGUUGAUGCUGGACGGCGACGUGUCUUGGCAAUAGUAGAGAGACCUCUAGAGCCAGACUAA
rnacentral:rRNA from 1 species